UACGUAGGAGGCAAGCGUUGUCCGGAAUUACUGGGCGUAAAGCGCGUGUAGGUGGUGGGACAAGUCUGCUGUGAAAGCGCCUGGCUUAACCGGGCGAGGUCGGCGGAAACUGUCGCACUCGAGGACGGUAGAGGGGGGUGGAAUUCCCGGUGUAGUGGUGAAAUGCGUAGAGAUCGGGGGGAACACCUGUGGCGAAGGCGGCCCCCUGGGCCGGCCCUGACACUGAGACGCGAAGGCGUGGGGAGCGAACGGG
rnacentral:rRNA from 1 species